rnacentral:rRNA from 1 species
CCUACGGGAGGCAGCAGUGAGGAAUAUUGGUCAAUGGGCGCGAGCCUGAACCAGCCAAGUAGCGUGAAGGAUGACUGCCCUACGGGUUGUAAACUUCUUUUAUAAAGGAAUAAAGUGAGGUACGUGUGCUUUUCUGUAUGUACUUUAUGAAUAAGGAUCGGCUAACUCCGUGCCAGCAGCCGCGGUAAUACGGAGGAUCCGAGCGUUAUCCGGAUUUAUUGGGUUUAAAGGGUGUGUAGAUGGUUUGUUAAGUCAGUUGUGAAAGUUUGGGGCUCAACCCUAAAACUGCAUUUAAUACUGUCGAUCUUGAGUACAGUUGAGGUAGGCGGAAUGCAUGGUGUAGCGGUGAAAUGCUUAGAGAUCACGAAGAACACCGAUUGCGAAGGCAGCUUACUAAACUGCCACUGACAUUGAUGCUCGAAAGUGUGGGUAUCAAACAGGAUUAGAUACCCUGGUAGUC